rnacentral:lncRNA from 1 species
GACAAGUUCGAGCAUCUUAAAAUGAUUCAACAGGAGGAGAUAAGGAAGCUCGAGGAAGAGAAAAAACAACUGGAAGGAGAAAUCAUAGAUUUUUAUAAAAUGAAAGCUGCCUCUGAAGCACUGCAGACUCAGCUGAGCACCGAUACAAAGAAAGACAAACAUCCUGAUCCAUAUGAAUUCCUCUUCAAGAAAAAUAAAGCAUCCAGGAUUCAAUGAAGAACUGACUAUCACCUUGUUAAUCAUUCAGAAACAUGUUGCAGACUUAAGCCAUUUUUGAUAUAGAUACUGAAACAAUUACUUGCUAAGAGCAAACUUGAAGGUAUGGAUAAGGCCCUGAGUCAUCUUCCUGAGCUGAAUGAUAGUUAAGCUGAAUUAACAAUUUGGACAAGACAGCAAAUGCUAUUGUCCAAGUUUUCUAAAGAAGAAUCUGAAGUGAAAUGACAUCAAGAGACCUAUCAAGACCUGUAUCCAGGAAAAGACCAAACCAAU